GCAAGCAGCUCAUGGUCAAGGGGACGUGCGAGGGGCAGAGGGCAGCCCAGGUGCCCGUGCAGUGGGAGAUGAGGUGGUGGGGCAGAGGGACGCGCAGAUGGUCUGGGUGGAGUGACACAGAAAGCGUACCAGGUGGGGCGAGGUGGCCUGGGGCCCGGGAGAGCUGGGUGGAGCCUGAGGGCCCCGGGACCAUGCUUUGAAGGAGAGGAGCUGGUCGAAGCCAACGUCUGCAGCUGUCCCCAUGGCUGAGCAGGGGACAGACAGCGGACCAGUCCUGAAGUGGGCAGGGGUGUGGGGCCAAGUGGGGGCGUGGGGGGGCUCCCAGAGGCGCUGAGGACGAGGAACCGCCCCACCCUGUGGGCAGAGGGAUGCGGCAAAGAGACUUCCAGGUCCUGGCUGGGAGACAGGUGGGCACUCGAGGUGGGCAGAGGGGUGGCAGGUGCGAGGUGCUGUGGCCUAAGUGCUUGGGUCCCCAGGGUCAGACGGGGGAGCAGGGAAGCAGCCAUAGGUCCUCUGAGGGGCACGUGGAGGCCCUGCUCCUCCAGGAUCCCAGCAGCCCAGCGGCGGAGGGGAACUGGCCAGGGCCAUGCGCCCCUUGCCCUCUGCCCUCCGCCCUCCGCCCUCUGCCACGUGGGGCUGCAGAGACAAGCUGCCCGAGAGCCCUCACCAAACCCCAGAUCUGCCAGAGCCUUGGCCCUGGACUUCAGCUCUCAGAACUGGGGGAAAGGCAUUGCUGUCCUUUAUUAAUCCCAGGCUUGGCCUUCUGUUGGCAGGAGUGGACAUGGGCCCUCUCCAUGGGACAUGGGGCAGUGCGUCAGGGCCACACGCCGAGGGCCAGGUGUGGCAAGAUGGGUCAGAGUGGAUGGGGUGAUGCAGGAGGAGAGCCCAGGACCUGGGGACGGGAUCCAGGCGUGGACACCACACAAGGGGAGGGUGGCAGAACCGUGACUGCAUCCUGAGCAGCAGGGCACCAGUGGGCGCCAGGGCUCCGGCCUGGGCCAGGGGGCUCUGGCCUCACCGGGCAGGCUAUCGGGUGUCUGUGGCGUGGCUUGUCCUGGGGGAGCGAGAGGGCCUGGGUGAGGUGGCAGCGCCACACCUGGGAGCCAGGAAGCCACAGGGCACAGAGCCAGAGCCACCUGGCCGCUCACGGAAGUGUCCGCAGGACGGAGCAGCAGAGGGACGCGGAGGGGCUCAGGCCCAGGAGAGGGCCUCUGAGAACACGACUGAGAAUGAGCCAGGUCCUUAAAGAGGUGAUCAGGCUGAGACGCGUCACCAGGUGGCCCAUCAGGACAGACCCCGAGGACUGCGUGAGGACAUGGGGAGGAGACGCCGCGGCACCUGGACCCAGACUCCAGCCCCAGGACAGGGACAGUGGUGGCUGUCUGCUGCUGAAGCCCUCUGGGUCUGCUGUUGUGACUGCCGGGAGCUCACACAGAGUCAGUUUACAGGAAAGUUUCCGGAAUGAGAAUGGUACCAAGGAGCCGUGUGCCAGCACCCACACCCGCCCCAUGUCCCCUCUGUGGUCCUCUCUGCCUCUGCCGCUCUCUGUGCCUGACCGCUCCUAACCUCCUUGAAGAUUUACAGUCUGAGGGCGAAGACCCCCGCACUCAGCAACACCAGCAGGGGAACACUGAAGCGCCACUUUACCUCACCCCGGCUCUGUCCCGUGACCCGUGACCCUCUGCUUUAUUUUAUUUUGUUUGGACCAUUUAUGGAUUUCCUGGUGCAAAAGAA